rnacentral:tRNA from 1 species
CAGAAAAUAGUUUAUCCAAAAUAAGAGCUUUGGGAGCUUUAGAAUUAGUUUUACUAACUUUCUGA